rnacentral:rRNA from 1 species
GACGAACGCUGGCGGCGUGCUUAACACAUGCAAGUCGAACGGAAAGGCCCUGCUUUUGUGGGGUGCUCGAGUGGCGAACGGGUGAGUAACACGUGAGUAACCUGCCCUUGACUUUGGGAUAACUUCAGGAAACUGGGGUUAAUACCGGAUAGGAGCUCCUGCUGCACGGUGGGGGUUGGAAAGUUUCGGCGGUUGGGGAUGGACUCGCGGCUUAUCAGCUUGUUGGUGGGGUAGUGGCGUACCAAGGCUUUGACGGGUAGCCGGCCUGAGAGGGUGACCGGCCACAUUGGGACUGAGAUACGGCCCAGACUGCUACGGGAGGCAGCAGUGGGAAAUAUUGCACGAUGGGCGGAAGCCUGAUGCAGCAACGCCGCGUGCUGGAUGACGGCCUUCGGGUUGUAAACCGCUUUCGCCUGUGACGAAGCGUGAGUGACGGUAAUGAGUAAAGAAGCACCGGCUAACUACGUG